CCCUUAGAUGUCCGGGGCCGCACGCGCGCUACACUGAAGGAAUCAGCGUGGCUUUCUCCCUGACCCGAAAGGGUUGGGAAACCCGUUGAAUCUCCUUCGUGAUAGGGAUUGGGGCUUGAAAUUGUUCCCCAUGAACGAGGAAUUCCCAGUAAGCGCGAGUCAUAAGCUCGCGUUGAUUACGUCCCUGCCCUUUGUACACACCGCCCGUCGCUACUACCGAUUGGGUGUGCUGGUGAAAUGUUCGGAUCGGCCGUUUGUCGCGGUUUCCGCGGCUCGUGGCUGAGAAGUUCAUUAAACCCUCCCACCUAGAGGAAGGAGAAGUCGUAACA
rnacentral:rRNA from 1 species